AUUGAACGCUGGCGGCAGGCCUAACACAUGCAAGUCGAGCGGAUGAGAGGAGCUUGCUUCUCGAUUCAGCGGCGGACGGGUGAGUAAUGCCUAGGAAUCUGCCUGGUAGUGGGGGACAACGCUUCGAAAGGAACGCUAAUACCGCAUACGUCCUACGGGAGAAAGCAGGGGACCUUCGGGCCUUGCGCUAUCAGAUGAGCCUGGGUCGGAUUAGCUAGUUGGUGAGGUAAUGGCUCACCAAGGCGACGAUCCGUAACUGGUCUGAGAGGAUGAUCAGUCACACUGGAACUGAGACACGGUCCAGACUCCUACGGGAGGCAGCAGUGGGGAAUAUUGGACAAUGGGCGAAAGCCUGAUCCAGCCAUGCCGCGUGUGUGAAGAAGGUCUUCGGAUUGUAAAGCACUUUAAGUUGGGAGGAAGGGUUGUAGAUUAAUACUCUGCAAUUUUGACGUUACCGACAGAAUAAGCACCGGCUAACUCUGUGCCAGCCGCCGCCGUAAAAC
rnacentral:rRNA from 1 species